ensembl:lncRNA
AGAGCCCCAAUUUAUGAGUUUGGUUUUCUGUGACGUUACUGACGGAUCAAAGCAAGAGCAAACGCCUUUGAUCUGUCAGUGACGUCGCAAGGAACGCACGCGCAGGCGCGGCACAUGAUUAAAAGCUAGCGUGCGCUCACAGAUUUGAAUGACUCUUCGGGUGUAUCGUUCGUGACCCGCCAUAAUCCCAGGAUUUAUCGCGAAUCAAAGGUUGGAGGAAGUUUUUGGGGAAAAUGGCGGACGGUCGAAGCGGAGCGGUCCAUAAAAAAGCUCUUCAAACUGUGAAGGCUCGCUGUCAUCAGAAAGCUGAUGUGGGCGUGGCUCACGCCUUCAGCCAGUGGCAGGUGAGCAUGAAGGACAGCAUGCACCUGAACCAGGUGCUGGGCCUCCCUCUGCCUGAACCAGACGUCGCAUGGUGAGACGUUCUCUUAAAGCGCACUUCCCAAGUUCACAAGGUCGUUUGCAGCUCAGCCCGGGCGCAGGACGAGCUGCGACUGGAUGAUUGGCUGCUGCUGAAAACUUCGUACAAAACCAAGGAGAGUAGGAAUCGCUACAACAAAGUGGACCUGAGCCGGAAGGAGGAGCGCCGAGCCACGGACCUCCUCUGACAGUCGGACAAUCGCUGGAACCACCAUCACCAUCCACUCUGGGCUUCAGCCCACUUUGUAGCUUUACAAAUACAGGCCAUUUACAGAUGAGUUAUGGAUUUGAUGGCCUCUUGUGGGCAGUCCUCCCUCUGUUGACUCAUUCUUUGCUCCAGCACCUCUGCAGGAAAAUGUCAGAGUCUAUGUGUGACAAAUAUCUUCUAUUUUUUAACAAUCUGGGUCAUUUGUGAUUUAACGGGAAACAUGAAUUUAUUAGAGGACCGGGGGACAGGAAAGAGAAAGAACGAGGGGAAGAGAGAGAGAAGACAACACAGCAGGGAAACCAUGGCAACAACCAACCUCAGCAACAGUAAAUAAUAAACAUAAUUGUUACUGAGAAGCACACAGGACUGAUAAUGCAUAAUAUGUUUAGAGACAGCAGCCAACCCAGACAGUGUGUGUCUCUGAACACCUGUGUGUGUGAGCGCACUUAUGUUCAUAAGGAUUUUCCAUGUAAGUGUCUGAUAGUGGGUGUGGGGAGCCAUAGCCCCGCCCCCCAAGUAAUUGAGGGAGGCAUGGAGGAGAUCCCCUCAUAGCCGAGGAGGACAGACUCAAUUCAGGGCUUAAUAUGACGAAGGUUUCAGGUAUUCGAGCAGCUCGGUGGCAUAACUAUAUUACUGAGGGACACCAGUACUAGAAGGAUCAGUGGGUUUCAUGAAAUCUAUGUAUUUUUUGAUAAAAACAUUGUUAUAAUGUUGCCUUUACACAGGUCUUUAGCAUGAAAUGGUGGUAAUGCUCUUUCUUCUCCCUCUACAGCUUCAUUUAAAGACACUGAUCAGCUCGAGGUGUUGUUAAUAAGCUGUAGGUCAGCGGACAGCUGACCAGAACACCACUCCCUGGCUGUAUGGAUCUAACAGCAGGUGAUCUGUAUCUGUACUAACACCUUUUUCUGAUUCUUUUUUUCCCCUCUCCUAGACAUUUCUGCAUAGUCAUUGAAUGAGUUUCCAUGGCCGAGCAGCUGCAUCCAAGCCUUGUGUCACCAAGAGCAAUGCAAAUCAUUGGCUGCGUGUAAAAAACGCCGCCAUCGGAAUCUCUAAGGUUCUGUGAAGUUGGGAAUUGAUAAGAAUUUAGCAAUUACGAUUCCAUUAUCGACAUCACUCAUCGAUUCGAUUCUUUUAUUGAUUCUCAUCGGGAUCUAACUGGCUCUGCUUUGUGAGUCACCACCAUCUAAACAGCACAUCAAAGAUGUUUCUGUUGGAGGAAUUUCCCCUCUGUUGUGAUCAGUGUUUGGAAUAGUUACUCAAAAAAACAUGACAUUUACACACAUUAGACAGAAAACUAAUGUGGACAUUACAGAACAGUAAUGCAAUGCUUUACUUAAUUACUCAGAGUCUGGCAUGGCAGACUCUGCAGGGCCAGAUGGCCGAUGACCUCUGGCUGAGGUGCAGCGUGCUGAGGCUCCACAGGGACCUGCAGCCAGCUCUGGUUUCUCUGGCUGGGGCUGUGCAACAGGCUCUGGUGACUGGUGCUCCAGAAGAUGCUGGAAGAGCUCGUCCCCAGCCGACUAGGAAGGUGGCUGGAUGAGCUCUCCAGUGCCUCCAGCCUAAAUGAGGAACUGCUGGAAAGGCUCUACUGAACCCCCAGUUUCUGAACAAGCCCGGACAGAGUUUCAGCCUCUGGAGGAGCCGGUGCAGCAACACAAAAUAAGUUUUCUAUGCUGUUGUCUAUGAAAAGGUGUCAAUAGGUCCACAGCUUGACUCCAAGUUACACAUGGAAUAUGAAGAAACAUUCACGGCAGGUUUAGAGGUAAAACACACGGGAAAAUCAAUAAACCUGGAACAGAGAGCCAAACCUGGGCUGGCUGCCCCAACCAGACCAGGCUUGCUUGGACUAUUCUCUGGAUAGAAAACAAGACUAUCAUGGCUACCUUCAACACAUCUUAUUGUCUCUUUGUUCAUAUUGUCAUCAUCAAAAACUUUAUUUUGGCAGUUACGCAGUUGAAAUAAGUCAUUUCCAGAGACUGAACUCCCAUAAACGGUAUUCAAAUUCACUCCCUUGCAAAUAUAACAGCGAAUUCAGGCUCAACAUUUUCAGUCUUUAGUUCUUUCUUUGAACAAAGAAACAGAAGGCACAGCUUCAUCGCUGGCCAACCUGAAAACAGUUUUUAAAGAAGCAGGACACUGGGUGGCCAUAGAGCCCAGGACACAGAGAGAACGAGUCUCUAUUUACCUCUACAGAGAGAACUGGAGGUGAAAAACACUUACCUCUGGCUGUUGCUCCAGUGAAGUGCCAGACUCCGACCUUGGUGCAAUCCACUGGCAACAUGAACACUGCUUCCUUGUAGGAGGAAGAAGGAGGGAAAGCCCCAGCUAUUUUUCAGCAUGUGGUGGAGCAAAAAUUUAGUGGAUUGAAUGGAGUCCAGUGCUAUAUGACAUACUUGUCACUGGCAAAACAGAUGAGGAGAACUUGAGAAAUCUGGAUGCCACACUGCAGCGGCUGGAAGAACAUAGUCUGGAAAAAUAUGUAUAAUUUCUCACAUUUUUCUCUAGUCAACUGCAUUUCUAUCUGGGACUUCUUAUCUAUUAUGGGAGGUUUAUUCCAAACCUGUCUUCCAUGCUCAAACCUUGUGAUCAUGGUGCCAUGAUGAGUCGUGGAAAUGGGCAGAGCUGUGUGAAAAAGCAUUUAAACAGACAAAGACUGCAUUGUCAGAGUCUGAUACUUUAGCACAUUUUGAUGCUAGACUGCCUAUAAAACUGGCUUAUGAUGCUUCUUCAUACGGUGUAGGUGCAGCUGUAUCUCACAUCAUGCCAAAUGAGGAAGAAAACCAGUUACUUUUGCUUCAUGUACCCUCAGCAAGCCAGAGAGCGAAUAUGCUCAGAUUGAACGUGAAGCACGGGGAAUUGUGUUUGGUGUUUUGGGGAGAAAGUUUAUUCUUUCAACAGACCAUCAUCCCCUCAACAAUCUUUGAGUCCCACACAGAUAUUCUACCAUUAGCUGCAGGCCGAAUGCUGUUGUAAGCACACACCUAUAAAAUAAAGUACAGGAAAUCUGAGCUUCAUGGGAUGCAGAUGGCCUCUCCAGGUUACCACUUUAAACAGUGAAGGAAGAGCCACCACAAGCAGACAUCUUUUACUUCAGGCAAGUGGAGAAAGCUCCUAUAACUCCUCUGCACGUAAAAUGGCAGAUCAGACCCAAGCCUGUGUUGUCAGGACCCAGGAGGACGUUAUGUGGAGCAGGGCUGUGCAGAGAUGUUUAAAGGGGCGGGUGCUCAAAGUUAAAAAAUGGCACAUAGAACCAGGCUGAAGAACAACAACACACAUUCAUCCAGAAUCUAAUAUGGAAUCGUAUCAUCAGGUGGGCACAAAGCAAACGUAGCCUGUGUUUUAUCUGAUGGGUAGAGUGUUGCUGCUGAUAGUGCUGGAGGGCAGGGCUGUGUUGAUCUGAGACUGUAGACUGUAAAAAGUCCAUAGGAGAGAUGGUAGUUCAUUAAACAAGUGUUAGGAGUUAAUAAAAUGCAAAGAUUGGUGACAGCGCUUGGAACCAUCAGGCAACAAAACUGGUGAAUAAACUCGGCUCUGCCUGCGAGUCACUCGUUGCCUCUCUUCCUCCUUCCAUCUCCUCGUCUCAUCUAUCACUCUCCACUUACUGUCCAUCUGAGAACAAGGCACAAUCUGCUAUUGCAUUAAUUUAUUAUUAUUAAUAUAAUAAUAUCAUUUAUUAUUUAAUUAUCCACACUUAACUCUUGCACCUAAUCCAUCAUAAAGUAAUAAUAGAAUAGAAUAGUGCCCAGCAGACUGUUCACAAAGCUGAGGGAUCUGGGACUCAACAGCUGUCUGUGUGCAUGGGUGUUGGACUUCCUCACUGGCAGAACUCAGGUGGUGAGGGUGGGUAGAUGCGUCUCUAACAGCAUCACCAUCAACACAGGAGCACCACAGGGGUGUGUCCUCUCACCACUGCUCUACUCCCUCUACACUUCAGACUGUGUGGCCACCCACGGCUCCAACACCAUUGUGAAAUUUGCUGACGACGCAGUGGUGUUGGGCGCCAUCUCCAACAACGAUGAGGCGGCCUACAUGGAUGAAGUGAAGAAUCUGGCAUCAUGGUGCCAGGACAACCACCUCCAGCUGAACGUCGGCAAGACCAAGGAGCUGGUGGUGGACUUCAGAAGGAGUCAGCACAGAGACUACAAGCCCAUUAUCAUUAAUGGAGCUCCAGUGGAGAGGGUGCAGUCCUUCAAGUAUCUCAGUGUCCACAUCUCCUCAGACCUGACAUGGUCUGCCCACAUUCAGGUCCAGACCAAAAAGGCUAGGCAGCGCCUGUAUCACCUAUGACAACUGAGGAAGUUCAG